UACUGGGCGUAAAGCGCACGCAGGCGGUCUGUCAAGUCGGAUGUGAAAUCCCCGGGCUCAACCUGGGAACUGCAUUCGAAACUGGCAGGCUAGAGUCUUGUAGAGGGGGGUAGAAUUCCAGGUGUAGCGGUGAAAUGCGUAGAGAUCUGGAGGAAUACCGGUGGCGAAGGCGGCCCCCUGGACAAAGACUGACGCUCAGGUGCGAAAGCGUGGGGAGCAAACAGGAUUAGAUACCCUGGUAGUCCACGCCGUAAACGAUGUCGACUUGGAGGUUGUGCCCUUGAGGCGUGGCUUCCGGAGCUAACGCGUUAAGUCGACCGCCUGGGGAGUACGGCCGCAAGGUUAAAACUCAAAUGAAUUGACGGGGGCCCGCACAAGCGGUGGAGCAUGUGGUUUAAUUCGAUGCAACGCGAAGAACCUUACCUA
rnacentral:rRNA from 1 species